GUUGAAUUCAAUUAAACUGUAGCAUCCACCCCUUGUUGUGCUCCCCCGCCAAUUGCUUUAAGUUUCAACCUUGCGGCCGUACUCCCCAGGCGGCAGACUUAACAGUUAUCCUACGGUACUGCACCUAUUCGUGAUAGGCGCAACACCAAAGUCUGCAUAAUUUACUGCUAGGGCUACUCGGGUAUCUAAUCCGAUUCGUUCUCCUAGCCUUCGUCACUCACCGUCGGAUGUGUUCUGGUCAGGCGCCUUCGCCACCGGUAGUCUUCAUAGGAUUACAAGAUUUUACCCUUACCCCAUGAAUACUCCUGACCUCUCCCACUCCCUAGCUGAAAGGUAUCUUAUGCACGCAUUGAUGUCAGGCACCAAUAUUUCACAUAAGACGGUUUCAGCCGGCUACUGACGCUUUAAGCCCAAUAAUAGUGAACACCACUUGUGCCGCCGGUAUUACCGUGGCGGCUGCCACCGGUCUUACCCAGCACUUAUUCGCCAAGCUUUUUGGACUUAGCAAAAGGUGCACCGAAGUGCACCACUCAGACUCCCCCCAUCACACGUAUGUGCAUUGUGGAGUUUGCGCGCCUGCUGCACGCCGUAGCGCUAGGGCCCUUGUCUCAGUGCCCUUCUCGGGGCUCUUACUCUCAUAUCCCCUACUGGUCAACGGUAUGGUGGGCCGUUACCCCGCCAUCUGCCUGAUCAGACGCAGUCUCAUCGCAGAGCAGUACCCGCUCCAAUUCGCGGACUUUUUGAGCUACAAUUCAUUCCAGAAUUCGUAGCA
rnacentral:rRNA from 1 species